UAUUUUUAGAGAGUUCAUAUUGAUAAAAGUGAUUGCGACCUCGAUGUUGAAUUAAGAUAAAAAUUAAAUGGAGAUAUUUAAUAUUUAAGUCUGUUCGACUUUUAUAAUC
rnacentral:rRNA from 1 species